UACGAAGGGAGCUAGCGUUGUUCGGAAUUACUGGGCGUAAAGGGCGCGUAGGCGGCUUCGCUAGUUGGGCGUGAAAUGCCUGGGCUUAACCCAGGAAUUGCGCCCAAUACUUCGAGGCUUGAGUGUGGGAGAGGAUAGUGGAAUUCCCAGUGUAGAGGUGAAAUUCGUAGAUAUUGGGAAGAACACCAGCGGCGAAGGCGGCUAUCUGGACCACAACUGACGCUGAGGCGCGAAAGCGUGGGGAGCAAACAGG
rnacentral:rRNA from 1 species